UGUGAGCUCGAUGAGUAGGGCGGGACACGUGGUAUCCUGUCUGAAUAUGGGGGGACCAUCCUCCAAGGCUAAAUACUCCUGACUGACCGAUAGUGAACCAGUACCGUGAGGGAAAGGCGAAAAGAACCCCGGCGAGGGGAGUGAAAAAGAACCUGAAACCGUGUACGUACAAGCAGUGGGAGCACGCUUAGGCGUGUGACUGCGUACCUUUUGUAUAAUGGGUCAGCGACUUAUAUUCUGUAGCAAGGUUAACCGAAUAGGGGAGCCGAAGGGAAACCGAGUCUUAACUGGGCGUUAAGUUGCAGGGUAUAGACCCGAAACCCGGUGAUCUAGCCAUGGGCAGGUUGAAGGUUGGGUAACACUAACUGGAGGACCGAACCGACUAAUGUUGAAAAAUUAGCGGAUGACUUGUGGCUGGGGGUGAAAGGCCAAUCAAACCGGGAGAUAGCUGGUUCUCCCCGAAAGCUAUUUAGGUAGCGCCUCGUGAAUUCAUCUCCGGGGGUAGAGCACUGUUUCGGCAAGGGGGUCAUCCCGACUUACCAACCCGAUGCAAACUGCGAAUACCGGAGAAUGUUAUCACGGGAGACACACGGCGGGUGCUAACGUCCGUCGUGAAGAGGGAAACAACCCAGACCGCCAGCUAAGGUCCCAAAGUCAUGGUUAAGUGGGAAACGAUGUGGGAAGGCCCAGACAGCCAGGAUGUUGGCUUAGAAGCAGCCAUCAUUUAAAGAAAGCGUAAUAGCUCACUGGUCGAGUCGGCCUGCGCGGAAGAUGUAACGGGGCUAAACCAUGCACCGAAGCUGCGGCAGCGACGCUGAUGCGUUGUUGGGUAGGGGAGCGUUCUGUAAGCCUGUGAAGGUGUGCUGUGAGGCAUGCUGGAGGUAUCAGAAGUGCGAAUGCUGACAUAAGUAACGAUAAAGCGGGUGAAAAGCCCGCUCGCCGGAAGACCAAGGGUUCCUGUCCAACGUUAAUCGGGGCAGGGUGAGUCGACCCCUAAGGCGAGGCCGAAAGGCGUAGUCGAUGGGAAACAGGUUAAUAUUCCUGUACUUGGUGUUACUGCGAAGGGGGGACGGAGAAGGCUAUGUUGGCCGGGCGACGGUUGUCCCGGUUUAAGCGUGUAGGCUGGUUUUCCAGGCAAAUCCGGAAAAUCAAGGCUGAGGCGUGAUGACGAGGCACUACGGUGCUGAAGCAACAAAUGCCCUGCUUCCAGGAAAAGCCUCUAAGCAUCAGGUAACAUCAAAUCGUACCCCAAACCGACACAGGUGGUCAGGUAGAGAAUACCAAGGCGCUUGAGAGAACUCGGGUGAAGGAACUAGGCAAAAUGGUGCCGUAACUUCGGGAGAAGGCACGCUGAUAUGUAGGUGAAGCGACUUGCUCGUGGAGCUGAAAUCAGUCGAAGAUACCAGCUGGCUGCAACUGUUUAUUAAAAACACAGCACUGUGCAAACACGAAAGUGGACGUAUACGGUGUGACGCCUGCCCGGUGCCGGAAGGUUAAUUGAUGGGGUCAGCGCAAGCGAAGCUCUUGAUCGAAGCCCCGGUAAACGGCGGCCGUAACUAUAACGGUCCUAAGGUAGCGAAAUUCCUUGUCGGGUAAGUUCCGACCUGCACGAAUGGCGUAAUGAUGGCCAGGCUGUCUCCACCCGAGACUCAGUGAAAUUGAACUCGCUGUGAAGAUGCAGUGUACCCGCGGCAAGACGGAAAGACCCCGUGAACCUUUACUAUAGCUUGACACUGAACAUUGAGCCUUGAUGUGUAGGAUAGGUGGGAGGCUUUGAAGUGUGGACGCCAGUCUGCAUGGAGCCGGCCUUGAAAUACCACCCUUUAAUGUUUGAUGUUCUAACGUUGACCCGUGAUCCGGGUUGCGGACAGUGUCUGGUGGGUAGUUUGACUGGGGCGGUCUCCUCCUAAAGAGUAACGGAGGAGCACGAAGGUUGGCUAAUCCUGGUCGGACAUCAGGAGGUUAGUGCAAUGGCAUAAGCCAGCUUGACUGCGAGCGUGACGGCGCGAGCAGGUGCGAAAGCAGGUCAUAGUGAUCCGGUGGUUCUGAAUGGAAGGGCCAUCGCUCAACGGAUAAAAGGUACUCCGGGGAUAACAGGCUGAUACCGCCCAAGAGUUCAUAUCGACGGCGGUGUUUGGCACCUCGAUGUCGGCUCAUCACAUCCUGGGGCUGAAGUAGGUCCCAAGGGUAUGGCUGUUCGCCAUUUAAAGUGGUACGCGAGCUGGGUUUAGAACGUCGUGAGACAGUUCGGUCCCUAUCUGCCGUGGGCGCUGGAGAACUGAGGGGGGCUGCUCCUAGUACGAGAGGACCGGAGUGGACGCAUCACUGGUGUUCGGGUUGUCAUGCCAAUGGCACUGCCCGGUAGCUAAAUGCGGAAGAGAUAAGUGCUGAAAGCAUCUAAGCACGAAACUUGCCCCGAGAUGAGUUCUCCCUGACUCCUUGAGAGUCCUGAAGGAACGUUGAAGACGACGACGUUGAUAGGCCGGGUGUGUAAGCGCAGCGAUGCGUUGAGCUAACCGGUACUAAUGAACCGUGAGG
rnacentral:rRNA from 1 species